AUCUUGUUUUGAUUACUUUGUAAAAAGAAAAAUGAAGAGAGCGAAAAUCCCAACAUGGCUGAACGUAAUGACGAAGUAUUACUGUUCUAAGCGGAUAUGGACCUCAAAAUGUUCUUGCUUUGGACGAGAUUUGUCCGCCAGUAAAAACAGUGAAAGCACGAUUAGUCGAUUGAUCCCAGGUGUCCUGCCAGCCUCCUUGGCAGUGCCCCCAACCCCAACACACCAUCUCUUCCCUGUUGCGGAGCUGCAAACCACACCUCGCCCAUGUGUGCCCAAAGACCCUGAUGACAGAAACCUCAGAUAUUGAUAGCCCAACUGGGGAGAGCUGAAUCAGCAGGGCAUCAAUCAGUCAGCAGAGCGAUUCAAUGCAUCUGGGCAACAGAUCCUUUUCCCAUUCAUACUCAGUACAUUUAUAACCAAGGAUGAAACUGGUCGGCUGGCAGUAAAACUUUGUGCCACUUUCAUGGAAGGCUUUAAAGUGGGAACUGUACAAUUUAUUACACCUGUGUAUUUUUUGCAGGAUUGUUCAUAUAAAAUCUUUAUAUCUUUCUUUGCAGCAAAUGUCUUUUAAUGUAUCUUUCCUGUGAGCUUCUCUACCCGUGCACUGGACAAUGCCUAUCUUUUAGUACUCUUCUCAUCUAGUAUCACAACUAUCCUACUUUAGAGAAGAGUUCCACAUGAACCCUCUUUCACUUCAGUUACAUUGCAUCCAUUGUGUGUCCAUUGUAACCUUUCACCAGAGAAC